rnacentral:rRNA from 1 species
GGAAUCUUCCGCAAUGGACGAAAGUCUGACGGAGCAACGCCGCGUGAGUGAUGAAGGUUUUCGGAUCGUAAAGCUCUGUUGUUAGGGAAGAACAAGUGCAAGAGUAACUGCUUGCACCUUGACGGUACCUAACCAGAAAGCCACGGCUAACUACGUGCCAGCAGCCGCGGUAAUACGUAGGUGGCAAGCGUUGUCCGGAAUUAUUGGGCGUAAAGGGCUCGCAGGCGGUUUCUUAAGUCUGAUGUGAAAGCCCCCGGCUCAACCGGGGAGGGUCAUUGGAAACUGGGAAACUUGAGUGCAGAAGAGGAGAGUGGAAUUCCACGUGUAGCGGUGAAAUGCGUAGAGAUGUGGAGGAACACCAGUGGCGAAGGCGACUCUCUGGUCUGUAACUGACGCUGAGGAGCGAAAGCGUGGGGAGCGAACAG